CAAUAGCGUAUAUUAAAGUUGUUGCAGUUAGAACGCUCGUAGUCGGAUUUCGGGGCGGGCCGACCGGUCUGCCGAUGGGUACGCACUGGUCGGCGCGUCCUUCCUUCCGGAGACCGUGCCUACUCUUAACUGAGCGGGGGCGGGAGACGGAUCGUUUACUUUGAAAAAAUCAGAGUGUUUCAAGCAGGCAGCUCGCUCUUGCAUGGAUUAGCAUGGGAUAAUGAAAUAGGACUUUGGUGCUAUUUUGUUGGUUUCGAACACCGAAGUAAUGAUUAACAGGGACAGUCAGGGGCGCUCGUAUUCCGCCGAGAGAGGUGAAAUUCUCAGACCAGCGGAAGACGAACUACUGCGAAAGCAUUUGCCAGGGAUGUUUUCACUGA
rnacentral:rRNA from 1 species